GAUGAAGAACGUAGCGAAAUGCGAUAAGUAAUGUGAAUUGCAGAAUUCAGUGAAUCAUCGAAUCUUUGAACGCACAUUGCGCCCGCCAGUAUUCUGGCGGGCAUGCCUGUUCGAGCGUCAUUUCAACCAUCAAGCCCCCGGCUUGUGUUGGGGACCUGCGGCUGCCGCAGGCCCUGAAAUCCAGUGGCGGGCUCGCCGUAGCACCGAGCGCAGUAGCACACCUCUCGCUCCGGUGGCGCGGCGGGCGCCUGCCGUAAAAACCCCCCUACAUCUCAAGGUUGACCUCGGAUCAGGUAGGAAUACCCGCUGAACUUAAGCAUAUUCAAUAAGCGGAGGA
rnacentral:misc_RNA from 1 species